rnacentral:rRNA from 1 species
UAACCUGCCCAAGAGAUCGGGAUAACACCUGGAAACAGAUGCUAAUACCGGAUAAUAACAGAUGAUGCCUAUCAACUGUUUAAAAGAUGGUUCUGCUAUCACUCUUGGAUGGACCUGCGGUGCAUUAGCUAGUUGGUAGGGUAACGGCCUACCAAGGCGAUGAUGCAUAGCCGAGUUGAGAGACUGAUCGGCCACAUUGGGACUGANACACGGCCCAAACUCCUACGGGAGGCAGCAGGC